GGAGGGGUGGCAGAGUGGUUGAAUGCGGCGGUCUUGAAAACCGUUGAGGGUGUUCCCUCCGGGGGUUCAAAUCCCUCCCCCUCCGCCA
rnacentral:tRNA from 1 species